rnacentral:rRNA from 1 species
UAUCUCUGUAGAGUCUGCAUAUCAAUAAGCGGAGGAAAAGAAACUAACUAGGAUUCCCUCAGUAACGGCGAGUGAAGCGGGAAGAGCUCAAAUUUGAAAUCUUCAAGGUUUCUACCUUGACGAAAUUGUAGUUUAAAGAAGUGUUUUCUGUUGGAGUUUUGGUAAAAGUUCUUUGGAAUAGGACAUCAUAGAGGGUGAGAAUCCCGUAUUUGACCAUUAUUUCCAGCUUUGUGAUACACUUUCAAAGAGUCGGAUUGUUUGGGAAUGCAGUCCAAAAUGGGUGGUAAAUUUCAUCUAAAGCUAAAUAUUGGCGAGAGACCGAUAGCGAACAAGUACCGUGAGGGUAAAGAUGAAAAGAACUUUGAAAAGAGAGUUAAACAGUACGUGAAAUUGUCAAAAGGGAAGCGUUUGACACCAGUGUUGUUUUCUCGAAAAUCAAUUAAAAAAGGCAGGAUUUUGUGUUGUAUUGACUUUAUCAGCUUUCUGCACUCUUUUCUUGUCUUUUUUUAAUGCACUUUUCGUUUAACAAGUCAACAUCAAUUUCUUUUGUUGUAAAAGGGUCAUUGGAAGGUGGCUUUCUUUUCGGAGAAAGUGUUUAUAGCCUUUGGCCUCUGCAAUCGGAGAGAUUGAGGUCUGCAGCGUAGAUCCUUCGGGGUUAGAUACAUUUGUGCUAAGUUAUAGCCUUUCAUAGACAACUUGUUGACUAUGAUCAGUCAUGUAGCUUACUCGCUUAUGCUAUUUUACCUACGCUUAGGAUGUUGAUAGUCACAGCGUGUAC